GGAGAAAUCGGGGAAGGAAUAACAGAAACAGAGGUGGUAAUAAUAAUCGUGGGGCAACAAUGCUCGGAAUAAUAAUGGUGGGAAUGGUGGCAACAAUAAUAAUCGUGGCCCUGGAGGAAACAACAACAACAAUGGUAAUCGGGGACGCUCAAAUGGGAGUAAUUCAUCAAAUAGUAACAAUGUUCCCUCUACCCCUACUUCCGAUACAUGUGGUUUGUGUUGGUUUCCAGGUUACCAAGCUGCCUACUGUCCCCAGCGUUUCAAUCAUAACUUUGUUUCAUCUUCCUCAGAAAGUGUCACUCGAGCCUUAGCUGCACUGUCUGUUGGUGGUGAAGCUAAUGACUCAGUCUGGUACCCGGAUUUGGGAGCUGCUUCUCACAUGACUCCUCAGGAUGGACUAGAUAACGGGGGAAGUUCUGCUUCAGGGAACCAGUAAACAAGGUGUCUACCCUCUUCAGCCCAGCAUUGUCCCUCCUGAGCCUUCCGUUCCUGCUUUCCUAGCCAUUAAGGAGUCGGGUGAUGUGUGGCAUGCUCGCCUGGGUCAUACAUCUUCUAGCAUUAUAGGAAAAUUAUGUUCCAAUAACUA